rnacentral:rRNA from 1 species
AGAGUUUGAUCCUGGCUCAGGACGAAUGCUGGCUGCGUGCUUAACACAUGCAAGUCGAACGGUGAAGGAGGGCUUGCCCUCCGGAUCAGUGGCGGACGGGUGAGUAACACGUGGGCAACCUGCCCCUCACUCUGGGAUAACGCCGGGAAACCGGCGCUAAUACCGGAUACGACCAGAAGCGACAUCUCUUCUGGUGGAAAGAAUUUCGGUGAGGGAUGGGCCCGCGGCCUAUCAGCUAGUUGGUGGGGUAAUGGCCCACCAAGGCGACGACGGGUAGCCGGCCUGAGAGGGCGACCGGCCACACUGGGACUGAGACACGGCCCAGACUCCUACGGGAGGCAGCAGUGGGGAAUAUUGCGCAAUGGGCGAAAGCCUGACGCAGCGACGCAGCGUGAGGGACGAAGGCCUUCGGGUUGUAAACCUCUUUCAGCGGGGACGAAGCGAAAGUGACGGUACCCGCAGAAGAAGCACCGGCUAACUACGUGCCAGCAGCCGCGGUAAUACGUAGGGUGCAAGCAUUGUCCGGAUUUAUUGGGCGUAAAGAGCUCGUAGGCGGCUUGUCACGUCGGAUGUGAAAACUCGGGGCUCAACCCCGAGCCUGCAUUCGAUACGGGCUAGCUAGAGUGUUGCAGGGGAGACUGGAAUUCCUGGUGUAGCGGUGAAAUGCGCAGAUAUCAGGAGGAACACCGGUGGCGAAGGCGGGUCUCUGGGCAACUACUGACGCUGAGGAGCGAAAGCGUGGGGAGCGAACAGGAUUAGAUACCCUGGUAGUCCACGCCGUAAACGUUGGGCGCUAGGUG